CUACGGGCGGCUCCAGUGGGGGAUAUUGCACAAUGGGCGAAAGCCUGAUGCAGCAACGCCGCGUGAAGGAAGACGGUUUUCGGAUUGUAAACUUCUAUCAGCAGGGAAGAAAAUGACGGUACCUGACUAAGAAGCCCCGGCUAACUACGUGCCAGCAGCCGCGGUAAUACGUAGGGGGCAAGCGUUAUCCGGAAUUACUGGGUGUAAAGGGUACGUAGGCGGCUGAUCAAGUCAGAUGUGAAAGCCCGGGGCUCAACCCCGGGACUGCAUUUGAAACUGGUCGGCUAGAGUGCAGGAGAGGAAAGUGGAAUUCCUAGUGUAGCGGUGAAAUGCGUAGAUAUUAGGAAGAACACCAGUGGCGAAGGCGGCUUUCUGGACUGUAACUGACGCUGAGGUACGAAAGCGUGGGGAGCGAACAGGAUUAGAUACCCGCGUAGUC
rnacentral:rRNA from 1 species